UGCCCAUUCAGCAGGGGUGGAGAAGGGGAUUCCUGGCUUUAAAAGCCCUUCACAGGGUCUGGCUGCCCCCUGGAAUGUCCCCAAGGAGGGUGUGUGGUGAUGGGUCCUGUGUUGCCUCAUCUUGCUGCUUCCAGAUCCAUGAGGGCUCUGGCACACAGAACGAAAACAAUUCGGAUGCUGAUGGGAGGAAUGAAGGAGGGCGUGCAGGGGCUGAGCACCGGCUAACCCAGCACCACCCUCACCCAGCGGAGCAUCCUCGCUGUGUUCCCACCAAGAGGGGCGGUGGGGGAGAGCCGGGGGCCAGCCCAGCAGGGCAAGCACUGGCCCCGCUGCUCCCAGGCUCAGCCGGGUGCUGCAGCACUGGGAGGAGCGGGCUCAGGCGAACGCAGUCCCUCGCAGAUCGUUUAGGGGGUUUAUUUCUUUAUUGGUGAUUAAUGGCCGUGUUUCGUUUCUAAUGGAAGGAAAUAGGGAGGAAAUGGUUUCUCGCAUUCAUUUAUCAGGGGUUUGUUUAAACGGUGCUGGAAAUAGGUCAGGAUUGUGUACUUUCGAGAAGAAAAAGCCGGUGGGGCUGGGGCUGGAUGUCAGAUAUUUGGACUCCUUCCCUGCACGAGGCCGGCCCCGUCCCUCCCCGCCCAGCACCGCUGUCCUGCUGCUGGUGGCAGGAGUGAAUCGGUUCCCAAACCGGCCUCUCGUUGUUGUUCCCUGGUUCUGUAAAGGGCUCUGCUAUUAAUUGGGUGGGAAUUAAUUGUUUUACACCUGCCCCAGCCCUGCGGUGGGGUCGGGCACCUGGGGAGUGCAGAAGAGGGGGCAUCGCCUCCAGGAGACGCGUCCCAUCCGAGUGCUUUUGGGGUCAGUGCUCUCUGGGUGCUGCUUUUCCUGCUGAAUUUAAAACAAAUCCCACUUCUGAAUAAGUGAUGGUGUUACCCCCCCCCCCCCCCCCCCCACCAAAUAGGGGCUUGGAAGAGUCUCCAAAAACUCUCUGAUCUCCUUUGGGAGCCUGUGUGGCUGCUUUAGGUGCUGGAGCACCGGGAGCACGGUGAGCCUCGUGGUACCCAAACAUCCCCAAACUCCAGCCCUGUGGGCACUAGCACCCAGCUCUGUGCUUUGUGGGGUCAGGGGGAAUCCACUGCUUGUGGCUGCUAAAAAACAGUGCUCCAGCCAGCUACUUGUGUCUGCUUUGGGGUUAUGGAGGGGAACCCACAGCUUUUUGCAGCACCAGAGCUACCAACACCUGAGAGCCGAGCUGCCUAAAAAUGGAUUCGCACCCCGGAUGAGAAACGUUACUCAUCUCCCUCUUCAUCUGGAACAACAUCAUUCCUCGUGGCCGUCCUUCCCCGAGCAUCACCACCCGCUCUCAGGCUGGCCAGGCAGCCAGAGCCCGAAAAUCCUAGCAACAAUGACAUUGUUUGCUAUAUUUGCAUCCCUCAGGGC
rnacentral:lncRNA from 1 species